ACGAUGUUCCGCUGUCCCAUACUUGUUCAUGAGCAUUAG
rfam:Oceanobacillus iheyensis HTE831 DNA, complete genome.